AAGUUUGCAAAUCAUUGAUCCAUCUUCUUGGUCGGUAUAUUGUGUAUACUAGCUUAGUGAUGCAUAGUGACAGUACAAUUCGUCAGUUUCAUUAACUAGGAACUAAAGGCCAACAAGUUAGUCCCUGCUGGCCAGGACUCGGACAUCAUCACAUGCCUCAAACUUAUUUAAUUCCUAGGGAUUUAACAGUUUGCUGGUACCAAAAGUUAGCAACAUGGCCCCCAUCUGACUGGGACGACAGUUGAUUGUCUCAACUAAGACCAUGAAUGACAACAACUAAUCCCCUGCUCGUCAAUCUUUUAAUAACAAUGUACUGAUUGGAACUUUCAAAAUACGGUAGCAGUCAACAAAUUACAAUUUCCAUGUAAUUUAUAAACUUUGAAGUUUUCAAUAUAAAAGGAAAUAACUUCAUUAAAUCAUAAGUGAAAGCAAUGAGUUGCAUCAUCAUUAUAAAGAAACAUUCAAAAGCACAAUAAUGUGAUUUCAAAGACAAAGUGAUUACUUCAAGGAUAUAGAUAAACAAAUAAACAAGAAGUUUUAGAUCUAUUUUUCAAAAUCUGAAGUACAUUGUGUCUAACCUUUUACCGGUUAUUUCUAUUCUAGCUCUUAAGGAUGACUUCCUACCAUUCAAAGACAACUCAAAGUCAUUCUCCAACUGUCCAUAGGUCUCUGAAAAUUCAAUGAACAUAUAAACUAUAGCACUUCGUUAGUACUCUGACUUCACAAAUUCUAGCAACGAGGAAAAAUUAUAUCAAAUAUUUGACUUAGCAUUGGAGUUUUUUUUGGUACAACUAGAUCUCGCAAAGAUUUGGCCUCAAAAUUUCAAGUUUAUAUUUUUUUUUUCAAGAAAAAAACUCAAAUCAACAUUAUAGCUAGAUACUAUUCCGUUGAUCUAGCACUCCAAAAUAAAUUCAACAUAAUCUCUUAGGGAAGGGUUCAAUUCUUGGUUGUCUCCAGAUUAAAAUAUCUGCAUAUAAUCUUAGGGUGCAUAAACUUUCAUGCCAAAAUUCAAAUUCUUGGUCAACCAAAUCGAGGGUCCAUGAAAGAGCAUUCAGCAUUGUAAUCCCCAUAAUACAGCUUCAAUUCUCCUCCAUGUGUAACACCUCUAUGAGUAGAAUUAAUUCUUGAUUUUCUCCAAAAAUCUACAAGUGAACAUCAUAGUUAACAAAAUUUCAAAUCCAAAGCCACUUCUUAUUCAGUUGAUACAAAUUAUACAGUACAAUAUCCUUAAUGCUUUUUUCUUUGGGGUAUUAUAAUCAUAUUUUUGCUAAAAUAUAAUGCCGGAGACCUAGAGGGUUGGCCUUUGUGCAACAAUAAAGUUGCCCAUUAUGACUUAGGUGUCAUGGUUUACAAAUACAGAAAUAGCCUCUUCCCAUGCAAGGGUAAGGUUGCAUGCUUCUAAUCCUCCACAAACCUUGCAAUGGUAGGAGACUUACGCACUAGGCCCAAGACCUAACAAGAUUUGAGAAAUCCUUUAUAAUUAGUAAUUUUUUUCGAAUUUCAUGACUAAAAGAAUUUAACAACUACAACAAGAACCCUAAAAAGAAGUAAGGCUUGUUGAAUUAAAUCUGACCUCAAAUAUCUCGAGUUUGGAGCUUGCAACUCUCGGUCAAUUCUAUUUCUUCAAGCUCAGAAAUUUCUCAAAAUCUUCAACUAUAUAAAAUUUAGCACCUACCACAAACAUAAUAAUAAAUCAAGAAAAGUCACAUUUUCUCGAACCUAAUGAAAAAUCCUACAACUUAUUUCCUCCAAAAUCCCUAAUAUUUUUGUCAAUAAGUUUGUAAAUCAAUAGUUACCUUCACCCUUGAAAACAUUUUCUUGUUCAAAACUUUUGAUUCUCCAAUGAAAAUUGUUUCAAUACUUGUUUUCCAUUAAAACAUUUUUUUGAGACAUUUGUAGGGUCUAACACCCACCUUUCUACCCUUAUUGCCACCGCAUCCUUAGAGGAUGAGUCCACCUCUUGCCCAUGUCCCAGGAGGUGGUACCAUUCGAACUAAAGUUCAG
rnacentral:lncRNA from 1 species